GAGAGGGGAAAUCCCUGGAAUUAAGAGGGGGCUGGUUUGGGGGUGCCCGGGGUGAUUUUGGGGUGCUGCAGGGACUUUGGGGGUUCUGGAUUAGGGAAUUUCUUUUAGAGGGGUUUGGCCUGUUUUGGGGUGUCCUCGGAUGGGUUGUGGGGUCCAUGGGCUGAUUUGGGUAGUCCGUGAAAUGGGGCACGUUUGGUUUAGGGGAUUGUGGGGUGUCCCUGGUAUGGGAGGCGGAGGGCAUAUUUGGGGGUACCUGGGGUUGUUUAGGGGAGGGUCUGUGAGACUCUUUGAGGUGGUUUAGGGAGUCCCUGGAAGGGGGAAAAGUUUGAUUGAGGGGGUCCGGGGGAUUUUUGGAGUGUCCUUGGGGUGGUGCAGGGGGCUCUUGAGGUGGUUUUCAGGUGGUUGGGGGGUCUUUGGGGUGGUUUUGGGCUCUAAGGGGAUCCUUGGGUUUGUUUGGGGAGUCCCUGGAAUGGGCGGGAGUUGGCUUAGGAGAACCCUGGAGAUUUUGGGGUGUCCUUGGGCUGGUUUUGGGGUGCUGGGGUAGUAUUUAGAGUGGUUUUGGGAGGUCCUGAAACGAGGGGAGUUGUCUGGGGGUGGGGUCCGUGUUUUUUUAUGGUGUCUUGGGCUGGUUUUGUGGUCUUUGGGCUAGCUAUGGGGCCUGGAAUGGGGUAGGUUCAGUUCAGAGGGGUUCUGAGCGUUUUUGGGGUGUCCCUGGAAUAGGAGGGGUCAGUUUUUGGGCUCCCUGAGGUGUUUUUGGAGAUCUGAGAGAGCCUUUGGGGUUGUUAGGGGAUCCUUGGAGUGAGUGGGAUUAGUUUUGUGGGGUCCUGGCAUUUUUGGGGUGUUCUUGGGGGCGCUGAGGGAGUCCUUGAGGUACAUUUGGGGUACCAGAGUGGUCGUUGUGAUGAUUUGGGGACAACUGCAAUGAGGAGUACUGGUUUGGAGGAGUUACUGGGGUUUUUGGGGUGUCCUUGAGAGUGGUUUAUGGGUGCUGGUGGUGUGUUUGGGGUGGUUUUGUGUGUACGGGGAAUGGAGCAGGUUUGGUUUAAAGGGGUGUGGGGUUUUUUUGGGGUGUCCUUGGAAUGGGAAAGGGGAAUAUUUGGGGAUCCCUGGGGUGUUUGAGGGGGUCUUAGAGAGUCUUUGAGGGUGUUUAGCAGUCCCUGGAAUUCCAGGGACUGCUUUAGAGGGCUCCUGGGGCUUUUGGGGUGUCCUUCAGAGUAGUUUUUGGGGUGCUGGUGGUAUCUUUGGGGAGGGUUUUUGGUCUGAGGGGGUCCUUGGGUUGAUUUUGGGAGUCUCUAGAAUGGGGCAGAUUUGGUUUAGGGGUGUCCCUGGAAUGGGGCAGGUGGCAUAUUUGGGGUUCCCUGAGGUGUCUUAAGGGGUCUGAGAGAGACUUUGGUGUGAGGUUUAAAGAGUCCCAGAGAAAUGGAUUAAACAAGCUUUUCGUGUCCUCAUUUGGAAAUUGUUCCCGGGCCCAUUUUAAAAGAUAUUCUAACAGGUCUCUGGAGACUUUAAUGGGAUGAUCUUUUACCAUUAACUCUAUUUGGUCCAGAAUGUCCCUUUGAGCUCUGGACAUUACAUUGCCCAUUGUUGUAGAUUCCCCUGAAGAUAACAAACCACUCCUACCUUACUGGCAGUCAGUUUCUUCCUCGGGUCCCUCCUUUCUGUGGAUGACCAGCACCACGGGCUCCUGGUUCACCUCUCACCAGCGUCUAGGGAUCUCUGAGCUUCUUUUCACCCGGGGGACUCCUCCAGCUUCCAGCUGCUGACGUUAUCUUCUUUUCUUCAGGGAGGUCCUUGACUCUGAGACUUAACAGGUGUCUUCGUUCCUCACACGCAGCACCACUGUGGGGGCAGAGGUGCGGGGGCUUUGGACCACCUAAUUAGUGGUUUGUCAUCGGUCUUGUCUGUCUUCCCUCAGAGCCAGGAUUAACAGAAACAUGAUUGAAACAGUUUUUCUCGUGUUUGGGCUUGGAUGUUUAUUAUAUCUUAUCAGGAAGUACAGAGAGUAUGACAGCACUUCCAGCUCUUGCUAGAAAUUCCCAUGAUCCUUAGAGUGACACUAACUAACCAACCAGAAACUACUACCUGAAAACUGUGAAGAAGGAAGAAGAAGAAAGAUGAACAAAGAAAGAGACACCACCCAAAAUCCUCCAUCUUGUACCAACCCUAUUUCCUGUACUAUACAAACCUCAGAUUUAAAACCCAUCACCCUGUGAAAGAACAGACUUCCAAUUCACUACACACUUGUGAUUUCUACUUCAUCACUUGUAUUUAGAAGCUGUCUUCAAGGCCCCAGGACAAAAGCAGUGUUUUCCAGUGGGUCUGUGCCACAAAGCCCAGAAAGCUCAAAAAGUCCAGAUUUCUGGGAUCCAACAUUUGGGGUUGUUAGGGGAUCCCUGGAAUAAGUAGGAUUGGUUUUGGGGGGUCCAGGGGUUUUGUUGGGGGUGUCCUUGGGGUGGUUUUGGAUUACCAGGGGGGUCUUUGGAGUGAUUUGGAGAUCCCUGCAAUGAGGGGCACUGGUUUGGGGGGCUACUGGGUGUAUUUGAGGUGUCCUUGGGGGUGGUUUUUACGAUUGUGGAGGAGUAUUUGGGGUGGUUUUGAGGUCUGAGAGGGUCCUUGGGUUGGUUUUGGGAGUCCCUGGGAUGGGGCAGGUUUGUUUUAGGGGGUCCUGGGGCUUUUUGGGGUGUCCCGCAGUGACCCGGAGCGGGCAGGCAGGGCCGUGGCGCGGCAGUUUUUGCGCGGCAGUUGGCGCAGGCAGGGCGAGCAGGCAGGGCUGCAGGUUUUCACACCAGUGAGGUUUGCUGUGCGUUGUUCGCUGUGUUUCUAUUGCCCACUUGGUUUUGGGGUUUUUGUUAGGAAUGGGUUUUACACCAUGGAAAACUGGGGCUGGUACAAGUGAGUGUAACCAAAUGGAGCCCUCGGAAAAGGAUGAGUCUGUGCAGAGCCAUUCCUGCCCGCAGUGUUUGAGCUGAUCAGUGGUUCCAGGGGUCUGUGGUGUGAACAGCUGAACGAUCUCCUUUCACUGGUGGCUGAGCUUAGGAAGCUGAAAGAAUAAGGAGUGUCAGGGAAAGUGAAAGGAAAAUAGAUUGAUGGAGUUCAGCCCUUCCAUUUUUGAGGGAGUGCUACCAAGAGGCAAGAGGACUCCAAAACUCCCAUUGUCAGGCAAUUGGAGGGCACCUGGGAGAUGAAGGAGAGUGCAAAUGGGUCCCUGCUCAGGAAGGUAGUAAUAAUAAUCAUCAUCAUCAUCAUCAUCAUCAUCAUCAUCACCAUCAUAACAAUAAUAAUAAUA